AUUUUAUUUCAGAUACCUGUACACAGAAUGGAUGCAGUUAUUGGAUCAUCCAUCUUUCAUCAUGGCCAGUACAGGGCUGUUCGAAAGAUGCCAUUACCCAAGGCUUCCAUUUGGAUGUGUCCUGUAAAUGUGGGAGGUCACUGGAUUAUAGUGAAACUUCCUGAAAGCAAAAGAUGCCAGCCCCAGUCAGUGGAGUGUCAGCACACUGCCACAUGGACUGCAGCAGGAUU